rnacentral:rRNA from 1 species
CCUACGGGAGGCAGCAGUGGGGAAUAUUGGGCAAUGGGCGCAAGCCUGACCCAGCAACGCCGCGUGAAGGAAGAAGGCUUUCGGGUUGUAAACUUCUUUUGUCAGGGAAGAGUAGAAGACGGUACCUGACGAAUAAGCCACGGCUAACUACGUGCCAGCAGCCGCGGUAAUACGUAGGUGGCAAGCGUUGUCCAGAUUUACUGGGUGUAAAGGGCGUGUAGCCGGGUUGACAAGUCAGAUGUGAAAUCCUGCGGCUUAACCGCAGAAUUGCAUUUGAAACUGUUGAUCUUGAGUACUGGAGAGGCAGACGGAAUUCCUAGUGUAGCGGUGAAAUGCGUAGAUAUUAGGAGGAACACCAGUGGCGAAGGCGGUCUGCUGGACAGCAACUGACGGUGAGGCGCGAAAGCGUGGGGAGCAAACAGGAUUAGAUACCCCAGUAGUC